rnacentral:rRNA from 1 species
UACGUAGGGCGCAAGCGUUGUCCGGAAUUAUUGGGCGUAAAGAGCUCGUAGGCGGUCUGUCGCGUCGGAUGUGAAAGCCCGGGGCUUAACCCCGGGUCUGCAUUCGAUACGGGCAGACUAGAGUGUGGUAGGGGAGAUCGGAAUUCCUGGUGUAGCGGUGAAAUGCGCAGAUAUCAGGAGGAACACCGGUGGCGAAGGCGGAUCUCUGGGCCGAUACUGACGCUGAGGAGCGAAAGUGUGGGGAGCGAACAGG